AUUGAACGCUGGCGGCAGGCUUAACACAUGCAAGUCGAACGAGUGGCGGACGUGUGAGUAAUGAAUGGGAAUCUAGCUUAUGGAUGGGGAUAACUACGGGAAACUGUAGCUAAUACCGCGUACCAUAGGAUGAGCCCAAGUGGGAUUAGGUAGUGGGUGAGGUAAAGGCUCACCAAGCCGACGAUCUCUAGCUGGUCUGAGAGGAUGACCAGCCACACUGGGACUGAGACACGGCCCAGACUCCUACGGGAGGCAGCAGUGGGGAAUAGUGCGCAAUGGGGGCAACCUGACGCAGCCAUGCCGCGUGAAUGAAGAAGGCCUUCGGGUUGUAAAGUUCUUUCGGUAGCGAGGCGUUAACUACAGAAGAAGCACCGGCUAACUCCGUGCCAGCCGCCGCGGUAAUUC
rnacentral:rRNA from 1 species